AGAGUGAUGGAUGUGGUCAGAGUAAUGGAUGUCAUCAGUUCAGUUGCCUUUUAUUUUCCUGAAGCUUGAAGAUGUCACCGAGAGCUGUGAACAGCGGCCAUGCCUGGAUGUUGCCAAGUGUUAGUGUGGAUAUCAAGGAAGGAUGAAGAGAACGCGUGGAGUGGAACGGAAAUUGUGUUCAAGUAGUGUGCUAGACAGGUGUCUGGAAGCCUGCGUCUUGGCACAAUGAAUUCGUUGUCUCCGUAAUAGGAGGGGCUUACUGACACUCCCUCUGUGUGGUAAAAAUACACCCAGCAAUUUGA